GACGAACGCUGGCGGCGUGCCUAAUACAUGCAAGUCGAGCGCAGUGGGGACGGGUGAGUAACACGUGGGUAACCUCCCAUCAGAGGGGAUAACACUUGGAAACAGGUGCUAAACCGAUACUGAUGUAGGGACCCGCGGUGCAAUAGCUAGUUGGGGAGGUAACGGCUCACCAAGGCCACGAUGCAUAGCCGUCAUGAGAGGGUGAUCGGCCACACUGGGACUGAGACACGGCCCAGACUCCUACGGGAGGCAGCAGUAGGGAAUCUGCGGCAAUGGACGAAAGUCUGAUGCAGCAACGCCGCGUGAGUGAAGAAGGUUUUCGGAUCGUAAAACUCUGUUGUUAGAGAAGCGGUAUUUAACCAGAAAGCCACGGCUAACUACGUGCCAGCAGCCGCGGUAAUAC
rnacentral:rRNA from 1 species